UUUCGCUCACGGCUGCUUUGCAAUGCCAGGCAGUCGAGGUGAGUCGAGUCGAGUCGAGUAGAGCCGAGCCGAACCUCUUGGAAUCAGUCUGAGACGUGGCCCCAUCGCAUCCUUUUCGUUUGUUACGGUAUCCUUGUGCACAGCUACCACCUGUUGAAAUCGAACGAUCUUAUCAUGCAUCGUCGUAAUUAAUAGUUCGAUACAUCGAAAUGACUACGUUUUGAAAUCACAUAUUUUAAUUAUAUAGUGAAACAUCGUGGUUCAUCGAUUGCGCGGAAACACGUUUUCUUUUGUUGUGUCUCACCAUCAAAAGUGGAAUCAUUUGUAUAAUCUUGUUUUUUUCUUGGUUAAUAUCGUUGAAGAAGUGCUAGUUUAAAAUCUAUAAUCUUGGUGCAAUGAUUUUGUGUAACACUGAAAGAUCAACUGGAAGUUUAGCAGAAAAUAUUUAAAAGAUUAUUGGCUUCUAUGAAGGGAGAAAUUAAUUAAUGAGAGGUGUCCAUGCCGAGUGUUAAGAAAAAUCAACUGGAUGAUCUUAGGAGCGCGAGAAGAAAAUUCUCAGUGGUACCAGUUCUGUGGAAUACAACGAAAGUUAUUAUACAGUCGAGGCUGCAAAAGUGACACGUUCGUGUUUGAAAAUGUCAUCAAGUACACGUACCAUGAUAAUGUCAGGACUGAUUUUAUUGGUAUUAGCAAUAGUAUCACUCAGGGAAGUGCAAGGACACGUUGCCUUGACUUUUCCACGAGCGAGGAAGUAUGACUUGGAUUUUUUGGAUAAUGCUAGAACACCUGGCCCAUGCGGAAUGCCUCGUGGUGAUAUUAAAACUACUUUAUUAUCUGGGAGUAACUUCAACGUCACAUGGCAUCUAGCUUAUCCUCAUCGAGGUGGAUUUCGGCUGCAAAUCUUGGAUGCUCUCGAUAGACCAUUAAUUGAUUUAACUCCUGUGACGAAAAAUAGUGAAUUCGUUGAAGAUGAUGCUACGGCACAGAAUUAUGCCGUACAAUUACCUCAAAAUUUUACGUGUACAGAUUGCACAAUUCGGCUUCUUCGAGAAGCUGAGGAAUGGGGUUCAAGUUACAGAUUUUGGUCUUGUGCAGAUAUCGAUAUCAUUGAUAGAAAGACAUAUAGAGAAGAUUGCAGCGGUCAUGGUCGAUAUCUAUUAGGUAGAUGUAGAUGUGAUCGGCUAUAUCACGGUAUAAGGUGUGAAUUUAAGGAGGAAUGUCUGGACGAUUCAGACUGCGGUAUUCAGGGCACGUGCAUUAACAAUGGCGGCACAACCGCGCCCACCAAGCAUUGCUACUGCAACAUCGGUUGGUUCGGGCCAGGUUGUGCAAAAAGAUCUCCAAUUAAAACCAUAGAUGUAGAAUUGGAUAUUUAUACUAUGAAAAAGUUUUCUGACAAUUUUACUUUUUAUUGGCGUAUAUUAAAAGAAAGCAAAGAACUCGAGGGCAUUAUGGUAGUAAAUGGUACAAAUUGGGUCGGUGUUGGAUGGCGACCAAGUAAUAUAAUGCCAAUUUGUCGUUCUUUCCCUGAUAUUCAAGAACAUCCAAAAGGUGAACCGCUUCCACGGCCAGAACCAAAAGCAGAACCAGAACCAAAAACUGAACCCAAACCAGAAUCUGAACCAGAACCUAAAUCUAAACUUAAAUCUAAAUCUGAACCUGAACCUGAACCUGAACCUGAACCUGAACCAGAACCUGAACCAGAACCUGAACCUGAACCUGAAUCUGGAACUGAAAAAUCUGGUACCAGAAGAAGAUCAGCUAAAGUUCAUGAUAUUGCUUCUUUGACUUCAACUCUUCAACCUGAUACUGAUGUCACAGUGCAAACCAGUGUGACAUAUCGUGUCAGUACAAAGCAAGGACGCAAGAAAAGAUCACCAGAAUCCACAGGAAUUUCUGCAAACGGGGAACUCAUCGCCGAGCCGAGCACUGUUGACAACACGAACAUUACGUCUGAACCUAUAUCAGAACCAGAACCUAAAUCCGAGCCUGAACCCAGCCCAGAAUUAGAACUGAAAUUCAAACUGAAAUCAACUUCAGUGCCUGAAUCAACAUUCCAACCAGAAUUCAAGUCUGAAUCAGAACCUAAUUCUGAGCCCGAACCUAAACCCGAAUCAGAACCCAGCUCUGAACCUGAACCCAAAUCCGAACCAGAAUUGGAGCCGAAAUCUGAACCAGAACCAAAAUCCGAACCGGAACCCAGUUCCGAACCAGAGCCAAAGUCUGAACAGGAACCUAAGUCAGAACCGGAACCAAGUUCUGAACCGACUUCGGAACCAGAAUCGAUUUCGAGUCUCAAAUCAAGCGCAACAAAAGCUAUCCUACCUGAAACGCACAAGUAUACGCCAAAACACGAUUUCAACCCUAUGGACUGCACAGACAUUAUAAUAGGAUCAGCACGAGGCAAUAGUCACAGGAUUGGUGACUAUUAUACUAGAGAUAGAUCUACACCAAGAAAAGACGAAUAUUGGGGUGGAAGAGAUACAUUGACUGCUGCAAUGGGCUUUGAACGCAAUGGCGUUACAACGAUACUUUUUAGAAGAAAAUUGGCAACAAAUGAACCAACUGACUAUGAAAUUAUUGAUGGUAAUAUGCAAGUGAUAUGGGCUAAGGGACAAGAAUCUGGAAAAUAUAUUCAUCAUCCACCGAGUGGCAUUGAAAAAGCCAAAAUUAGUGUGAAAGAUUUUUACAAGGCUGACGAACUUAAAUAUCAUGGACAUGGAGAACAAAGAGGAACAGUGACGCUUAAUUUCUUUGAUGAAAAGAAGAAACAAGAAAUGAUAAAUGAAGAUGGUGUACCAAUGCCAAUUUCAAAUUGCAGCGGUGAGUGGCAUUAUCCGAGACAUUGUUCAUCUAUAAAUGGUACUUGUGAAUACUCUAUUCAAUGGACAUACAAAGGACGAAAGGAUCAAUUAUCAUUUGUUAUUUCCACAACUAAUACAAAUGUUUGGACUGGUGUUGGAUUCUCUGAUGACGAUAAAAUGUCACAAACAGACGCAAUAUUGGGUUGGGUUGAUGAAAAAUCGGGUCGAGCUUUUCUCAUGGAUACUUGGAUCAGCGGAUAUAAUGCUCCGUUGCUCGAUCCAUCUCAAGAUAUUUAUAAUACGGGCGGUAGUAAAGUGGAUGGUGUAACGACACUCAAAUUCUCAAGGAAACGAAUAACAAAGGACAAUAGAGAUCUUUCUUUCACAGAUGAUCACUGCUUAUAUAUGAUGUACCCAGUCAAGGGUGGUAUUUUCAAUGCUGUCAGCAAGAAAAUACGUAAACACGACGCCGUGCCUAUUGUUUCCGCUGAAAGGAUCUGCAUAAAAUCUUGUGGUCUUGAAGAAUUUGAAGAUCUUACGACACCAACACCUCCAAGAUUAUAUUAUGAUGUGGAAGUGAAACUCAUAAAUUUGGGUGAUGGUUUUACAGCGCCUAUUCCGGGUAGUUCAGAUUUUGAAAUUAUUUCAAAUACGAUAUCUGAUAGCUUUGGUCCAGUUUUUAACAAAUUACCAGGCUAUUAUCAAAUCCGUCUCGUUGAGUUACAGAAGGAUAAUGAGCAAAAUGGUGUUAUUGCACGCAUGGAUCUGAUCUUAGAUAAAAAUGAAAUCAAAGGUAGAUCGUUGAAACCUAUAGAUACCAGUGCAGCUGCAGAAAAAGCAUUAAAAGAAGCUCUCAUUACUGGAAAAGUCGGUGCAUUAAGUGUAGAUCCACAAUAUUUGUUUAUUAGAGCUCCUCGAGUAAAUGAUAUAGGUGGAGGAGAUACGAAUGAAGAAUCGUCAAUCACAUCAAAUCUAUUUCUUGAUUCGACAAAACUGUAUAUCGUCGUUGGAUGUGUUGCUGCCUUGCUUGCUCUUGUUUUAUUGCAAGCAAGCUGUACUCUUUAUAGAUCAUCGAGGAGACGAGCAACGAAGAGGGUGUACUCGCUGCCUCUGGCUUCUUGUGACGCGCCCAACCCGAUUCAUCGUACGAACGCGACGCGGUAUCAUCGAAAAAAUGGCGAUCAUCAUCAUCAUCACCAUCAUCAUCUUCGGCAUCAUCAUCAACACGCUCCAUAUGAAAUGCAUCGUCCUAAUCCCAGCUGGUAGAACUUCACACUUUGUACACAAUUGACGCGCUAAUUAUUAUUCAUCGUACGCUUGUUUGCCCACUAAUCCAGGAUCGUUUGAUCGCCAAUAAUGCUUGGAAGGACUACGCUUCAGGUGCGAACACAAAUUUUGCUUUCGAGGCAUUCGAGACAGAAGAAAAGGCUCCACCACCGCCAGUUUCCAGUUUACCUCGUCAUAGAGAAAUGACUGGAAACGGAAUCGGCACAGAUACCGUGGAAGGCCCUAAUAGGAUAGUAGGACCACGAGCGACAUAUAGUUUGCCACGUGCACCGGGUUCGAGGCACACAGCACCCAUUCAACCUGGUUAUUAUACACAAGAUCGCAGGGAUCAUUAUCAACGAUCGAAGAAUAAUAUGCAUAAUUUAACAGGCGGUGGUGUAUCCACUCAACCAAAUCAGCCUGAUUUUUAUUUUAUGCCCAGUCAACGUAAAUACAGUGGUGAAGUUGUGCGCGUGUACGUGGAUUAUGGAAGUCAGGCGCCGAAAUAA
rnacentral:misc_RNA from 1 species